rnacentral:rRNA from 1 species
GAUGAACGCUAGCUACAGGCUUAACACAUGCAAGUCGUGGGGCAGCAUGAAGGAAGCUUGCUUCCUUUGAUGGCGACCGGCGCACGGGUGAGUAACACGUAUCCAACCUGCCAUGAACUCGGGGAUAGCCCUCUGAAAGGAGGAUUAAUACCUGAUGUGGCGCGCGGGGGCCAUCCCCUGCGCUCUAAAGAUUCAUCGGUUCAUGAUGGGGAUGCGUCUGAUUAGCUUGUCGGCGGGGUAACGGCCCACCGAGGCUACGAUCAGUAGGGGUUCUGAGAGGAAGGUCCCCCACAUAGGAACUGAGACACGGUCCUAACUCC